CCUGAUGGCACCAGUAAGGAGUGCGUCUUCAUUGAGAAAGUCCUAGAAAACAACUACACGGCGCUGAUGUCAGCAAAAUAUUCAGGCUGGUAUGUUGGAUUCACCAAAAAAGGGAGGCCACGGAAAGGGCCCAAGACCCGGGAAAACCAGCAAGAUGUACAUUUUAUGAAGAGGUACCCAAAGGGGCAAGUGGAGAUACAGAAACCUUUCAAGUACACAACAGUCACCAAGAGGACUAAGAGAAUACGACCCACCAACCCCAGUUAA